UACAGAGGUCUCAAGCGUUGUUCGGAUUCAUUGGGCGUAAAGGGUGCGUAGGCGGCGCGGUAAGUCGGGUGUGAAAUCUCGGAGCUUAACUCCGAAACUGCAUUCGAUACUGCCGUGCUUGAGGACUGGAGAGGAGACUGGAAUUUACGGUGUAGCGGUGAAAUGCGUAGAUAUCGUAAGGAAGACCAGGUGGCGAAGGCGGGUCUCUGGACAGUUCCUGACGCUGAGG
rnacentral:rRNA from 1 species